AUGGCUCAGGACGAACGGCUGGCGGCGUGCUUAACACAUGCAAGUCGAGCGGAAAGGCUCCUUCGGGGGUACUCGAGCGGCGAACGGGUGAGUAACACGUGAGUAAUCUGCCCUUGGCUUUGGGAUAACUACCGGAAACGGUGGCUAAUACCGGAUACGACCACUCCUUGCAUGAGGUGGUGGUGGAAAGUUUUUUCGGCCAGGGAUGUGCUCGCGGCCUAUCAGCUUGUUGGUGGGGUAAUGGCCUACCAAGGCUUCGACGGGUAGCCGGCCUGAGAGGGUGACCGGCCACACUGGGACUGAGACACGGCCCAGACUCCUACGGGAGGCAGCAGUGGGGAAUAUUGGACAAUGGGCGGAAGCCUGAUCCAGCAACGCCGCGUGAGGGAUGACGGCCUUCGGGUUGUAAACCUCUUUCAGUACCGACGAAGCGCCGAUGAUGGUGGUGACGGUAGGUACAGAAGAAGCACCGGCCAACUACGUG
rnacentral:rRNA from 1 species